UACGGGGGGAGCAAGCGUUGUUCGGAUUUACUGGGCGUAAAGGGCGCGUAGGCGACGCAACAAGUCACUUGUGAAAUCUCCGGGCUUAACCCGGAGCGGCCAAGUGAUACUGUCGUGCUAGAGUGCGGAAGGGGCUACUGGAAUUCUCGGUGUAGCGGUGAAAUGCGUAGAUAUCGAGAGGAACACCUGCGGCGAAGGCGGGUAGCUGGGCCGACACUGACGCUGAGGCGCGAAAGCCAGGGGAGCGAACGGG
rnacentral:rRNA from 1 species